rnacentral:rRNA from 1 species
UACGUAGGGUGCAAGCGUUGUCCGGAAUUAUUGGGCGUAAAGAGCUCGUAGGCGGUUUGUCGCGUCGAAUGUGAAAACCCGGGGCUCAACCCCGGGCCUGCAUUCGAUACGGGCAGACUAGAGUUCGGUAGGGGAGUCUGGAAUUCCUGGUGUAGCGGUGAAAUGCGCAGAUAUCAGGAGGAACACCGGUGGCGAAGGCGGGACUCUGGGUCGAUACUGACGCUGAGGAGCGAAAGCGUGGGGAGCGAACAGG